rnacentral:rRNA from 1 species
UACGGGGGGGGCAAGCGUUGUUCGGAAUUACUGGGCGUAAAGGGCUUGUAGGUGGCCAACUAAGUCAGACGUGAAAUCCCUCAGCUUAACUGGGGAACUGCGUCUGAUACUGGAUGGCUUGAGAUUGGGAGAGGGACGCGGAAUUCCAGGUGUAGCGGUGAAAUGCGUAGAUAUGCGGAGGAACACCGAUGGCGAAGGCAAUCCCCUGGGCCUGCACUGACGCUCAUGCACGAAAGCGUGGGGAGCAAACAGG